UACGGGUAGGGCAAGCGUUGUCCGGAUUUAUGGUGCGUAAAGAGCGUGUAGGCGGCUAGAUAGGUCCGUUGUGAAAACUCGAGGCUCAACCUCGAGACGUCGAUGGAAACCAUCUGGCUAGAGUCCGGAAGAGGAGAGUGGAAUUCCUGGUGUAGCGGUGAAAUGCGCAGAUAUCAGGAAGAACACCCGUGGCGAAGGCGGCUCUCUGGUACGUGACUGACGCUGAGACGCGAAAGCGUGGGGAGCAAACAGG
rnacentral:rRNA from 1 species